UACGUAGGGUGCAAGCGUUAAUCGGAAUUACUGGGCGUAAAGCGUGCGCAGGCGGUUUUGUAAGUCUGUCGUGAAAUCCCCGGGCUCAACCUGGGAAUUGCGAUGGAGACUGCAAGGCUAGAAUCUGGCAGAGGGGGGUAGAAUUCCACGUGUAGCAGUGAAAUGCGUAGAGAUGUGGAGGAACACCGAUGGCGAAGGCAGCCCCCUGGGUCAAGAUUGACGCUCAUGCACGAAA
rnacentral:rRNA from 1 species